GUGAACCUGCGGAAGGAUCAUUACCGAGUGCGGGCCCUCGCGGCCCAACCUCCCACCCUUGUCUCUAUACACCUGUUGCUUUGGCGGGCCCACCGGGGCCACCUGGUCGCCGGGGGACGCACGUCUCCGGGCCCGCGCCCGCCGAAGCGCUCUGUGAACCCUGAUGAAGAUGGGCUGUCUGAGUACUGUGAAAAUUGUCAAAACUUUCAACAAUGGAUCUCUUGGUUCCGGCAUCGAUGAAGAACGCAGCGAAAUGCGAUAAGUAAUGUGAAUUGCAGAAUUCCGUGAAUCAUCGAAUCUUUGAACGCACAUUGCGCCCCCUGGCAUUCCGGGGGGCAUGCCUGUCCGAGCGUCAUUUCUGCCCUCAAGCACGGCUUGUGUGUUGGGUGUGGUCCCCCCGGGGACCUGCCCGAAAGGCAGCGGCGACGUCCGUCUGGUCCUCGAGCGUAUGGGGCUCUGUCACUCGCUCGGGAAGGACCUGCGGGGGUUGGUCACCACCAUGUUUUACCACGGUUGACCUCGGAUCAGGUAGGAGUUACCCGCUGAACUUAAGCAUAUCAAUAAGC
rnacentral:rRNA from 1 species